CCUACGGGAGGCAGCAGUGGGGAAUCUUAGACAAUGGGGGAAACCCUGAUCUAGCCAUGCCGCGUGAUUGAUGAAGGCCUUAGGGUUGUAAAAUUCUUUCGCUAGGGAUGAUAAUGACAGUACCUAGUAAAGAAGCCCCGGCUAACUUCGUGCCAGCAGCCGCGGUAAUACGAAGGGAGCUAGCGUUGUUCGGAAUUACUGGGCGUAAAGCGCGCGUAGGCGGACUAUUAAGUCAGGGGUGAAAUCCCGGGGCUCAACCCCGGAACUGCCCUUGAUACUGGUGGUCUAGAGAUCGAGAGAGGUGAGUGGAAUUCCGAGUGUAGAGGUGAAAUUCGUAGAUAUUCGGAGGGACACCAGUGGCGAAGGCGGCUCACUGGCUCGAUACUGACGCUGAGGUGCGAAAGUGUGGGGAGCAAACAGGAUUAGAUACCCUGGUAGUCCACACCGUAAACGAUGAAUGCCAGACGUCGGGGGGCUUGCCCUUCGGUGUCACACCUAACGGAUUAAGCAUUCCGCCUGGGGAGUACGGUCGCAAGAUUA
rnacentral:rRNA from 1 species